rnacentral:lncRNA from 10 species
AAUGAAAAGACCCAACAAAAGACAAGAAGAUGGAAAGAGAUUGUUGUGAAGGAAACGUCCUGAAUUUCUUUUUUUUUUUUUUUUUUUUUUAUCUGUUACCCAGGAGCCCCGAACCUAUUUUACACAGAAUGUUUCUUGGAUAUAACGCUGCUAAUAACCCUAAUUGCAAGUCAGAUCUGUGAUGCUGUAGCACUCCACACCUUCCCAGUGGCUGCAAUUACACACAUCAAGUUUCAGAAUGAACGACGAGGACCUCUUUCUCUUCACAGUCCAGCAGUACUUCAAUCUAUUCUGGGCUUUCCUCGCCAUCAUCAUGAUGCUAACUUUUACUGAAUUAAAAUACCUUCAAAAAUCUUAUCAAAGAACCUCCCACUUAAAAAAAAAAAAAACCUCAUGUUUUACCAAGCAAAGCAGGAGUUUUGUCAGACAUAGGAAUGAGCGCACAUUUUAUGACAAAGACACCAAAAGCAAUCGUAACAAAAGCAAAAAUUGACAAGUGGGAUCUAAUUAAACUUCAGAGCUUCUGCACAGCAAAAGAAACUAUCAAAAGAGUAAACUGACAACCUACAGAAUGGGAGAAAAUAUUUGCAAACUGUGCAUCUGACAAAGGUCUAGUAUCCAGCAUCUAUGAGGAACUUAAACAGAUCUACAAAAGAAAAGCAAACAACUCCAUUAUAAAGUGGGCAAAGGACAUGAACAGACAUUUCUCAAAAGAAGACAUACAUGCAGCCAAUAAGCAUAUGAAAAAAAGCUUCAAUAUCACUGAUCAUUAGAGAAAUGCAAAUCAAAACCACAAUGAGAUACCAUCUCACACCAGUUAGAAUGGCUAUUAUUAAACAGUCAAAAAAUACGGAUGCUGGUGAGGUUGCAGAGAAAGGGGAACAAUUAUAUACUGUUGGUAGGAGUGUAAAUUAGUUCAGCCAUUGUGGAAAGCAGUAUGACGAUUCCUCAGAGAACUAAAAACAGAACUACCAUUUGACCCAGCAAUCCCAUUACUGGGUAUAUACCCAGAGGAAUAUAAGUCAUUCGAUCAUAAAGAAACAUGCACAUGAAUGUUCACUGCAGCACUACUCACAAUAACAAAGUCAUGGAAUCAACCUAAAUGCCCAUCAAUGACAGAUUGGAUAAAGAAAAUGUGGUAUAUGUACACCAUGGAAUACUAUGCAGCCAUUAAAAAGAAUGAGAUCACAUCUUUUGCAGAAACAUGGAUGGAGCUGAAGGCUAUUAUCCUUAGCAAACUAACGCAGGAGCAGAAAACCAAAUACCACAUGUCCUCACUUAUAAGUGGGAGCUAAAUGACAAAAACUUAUGGAUACUGAGAAGGAAACAACAGACACUGGGGUCUACUUGGCAGGGGAGGGUGCAAGGAGGGAGAGGAGCAGAAAAGAUAACUAUUGGGUACUGAACUUAAU